UACGUAGGGGGCAAGCGUUGUCCGGAAUCAUUGGGCGUAAAGCGCGUGUAGGCGGCCCGGUAAGUCCGCUGUGAAAGUCGGGGGGCUCAACCCUCGAAUGCCGGUGGAUACUGUCGGGCUAGAGUGCGGGAGAGGCGAGUGGAAUUCCUGGUGUAGCGGUGAAAUGCGCAGAUAUCAGGAGGAACACCGGUGGCGAAGGCGGGUCUCUGGGCAGUAACUGACGCUGGAGGAGCGAAAGCGUGGGGAGCGAACGG
rnacentral:rRNA from 1 species